rnacentral:misc_RNA from 1 species
AAGUCGUAACAAGGUUUCCGUAGGUGAACCUGCGGAAGGAUCAUUAACACGUAUCCAACGUUAAACCCCCCGUGCACACAGCGACCUGCUCCCCUCAAUUUCGGUCUUUUGGCAAUCCCUGGUAAAUCAUCGCCGAACAGUUUUGAUUCAGGGACAUCCAAAGGGCCGGGGUAGGGUAUUAAAGUAGUAGUCAAUGCAAAGCAACCUGGUUUCUUUGAAGCAGAAAGUGUGAUGGCGUGAGCCGGAGAACGGACCGAGUGGUAGUUCAAAGGUGCCUUCUGUCGCGCACUGUUGAAGGAAGACGUGACCGGUUCCUGGUCCUAGACCCCAUAUUCACCACCACAGUCGCAGACGAGGUAGGGAUACGUCCCUACCACCAAAUAAAUACUUGAGCAACCGUUAACAAUGGAUAUCUUGGUUCUC